rnacentral:rRNA from 1 species
UUUUGUAUAAUGGGUCAGCGACUUAUAUUCUGUAGCAAGGUUAACCGAAUAGGGGAGCCGAAGGGAAACCGAGUCUUAACUGGGCGUUAAGUUGCAGGGUAUAGACCCGAAACCCGGUGAUCUAGCCAUGGGCAGGUUGAAGGUUGGGUAACACUAACUGGAGGACCGAACCGACUAAUGUUGAAAAAUUAGCGGAUGACUUGUGGCUGGGGGUGAAAGGCCAAUCAAACCGGGAGAUAGCUGGUUCUCCCCGAAAGCUAUUUAGGUAGCGCCUCGUGAAUUCAUCUCCGGGGGUAGAGCACUGUUUCGGCAAGGGGGUCAUCCCGACUUACCAACCCGAUGCAAACUGCGAAUACCGGAGAAUGUUAUCACGGGAGACACACGGCGGGUGCUAACGUCCGUCGUGAAGAGGGAAACAACCCAGACCGCCAGCUAAGGUCCCAAAGUCAUGGUUAAGUGGGAAACGAUGUGGGAAGGCCCAGACAGCCAGGAUGUUGGCUUAGAAGCAGCCAUCAUUUAAAGAAAGCGUAAUAGCUCACUGGUCGAGUCGGCCUGCGCGGAAGAUGUAACGGGGCUAAACCAUGCACCGAAGCUGCGGCAGCGACGCUUAUGCGUUGUUGGGUAGGGGAGCGUUCUGUAAGCCUGUGAAGGUGUACUGUGAGGUAUGCUGGAGGUAUCAGAAGUGCGAAUGCUGACAUAAGUAACGAUAAAGCGGGUGAAAAGCCCGCUCGCCGGAAGACCAAGGGUUCCUGUCCAACGUUAAUCGGGGCAGGGUGAGUCGACCCCUAAGGCGAGGCCGAAAGGCGUAGUCGAUGGGAAACAGGUUAAUAUUCCUGUACUUGGUGUUACUGCGAAGGGGGGACGGAGAAGGCUAUGUUGGCCGGGCGACGGUUGUCCCGGUUUAAGCGUGUAGGCUGGUUUUCCAGGCAAAUCCGGAAAAUCAAGGCUGAGGCGUGAUGACGAGGCACUACGGUGCUGAAGCAACAAAUGCCCUGCUUCCAGGAAAAGCCUCUAAGCAUCAGGUAACAUCAAAUCGUACCCCAAACCGACACAGGUGGUCAGGUAGAGAAUACCAAGGCGCUUGAGAGAACUCGGGUGAAGGAACUAGGCAAAAUGGUGCCGUAACUUCGGGAGAAGGCACGCUGAUAUGUAGGUGAAGCGACUUGCUCGUGGAGCUGAAAUCAGUCGAAGAUACCAGCUGGCUGCAACUGUUUAUUAAAAACACAGCACUGUGCAAACACGAAAGUGGACGUAUACGGUGUGACGCCUGCCCGGUGCCGGAAGGUUAAUUGAUGGGGUUAGCGGUAACGCGAAGCUCUUGAUCGAAGCCCCGGUAAACGGCGGCCGUAACUAUAACGGUCCUAAGGUAGCGAAAUUCCUUGUCGGGUAAGUUCCGACCUGCACGAAUGGCGUAAUGAUGGCCAGGCUGUCUCCACCCGAGACUCAGUGAAAUUGAACUCGCUGUGAAGAUGCAGUGUACCCGCGGCAAGACGGAAAGACCCCGUGAACCUUUACUAUAGCUUGACACUGAACAUUGAGCCUUGAUGUGUAGGAUAGGUGGGAGGCUUUGAAGUGUGG